UGUAGAAUUUAUUUCCAAGUUGUAUUUCACGGUGGUGUUUGGUUAAGUCCCUUGAGCUUCCUGCAUCAAACUCGAUGCAUGAGGUUGUUCUAGCGUGUUACAACGGUGAACGCAUUCUGUAUCUCUAUAUAUAGCCCUCACUUUUGCUUUUUGACUGAAGCCAGGUUAGCCUUUAGCUAAUAGCACACCAUUUCAAUGGAUUCUGAGGAUGAAAUUGAUGUGAAUGGAAAGCGGUAUACAAUUUAUGUUUUAUGACUGUGUAUCCAGGUUUGUCGGUUUGGAUAUAGGAUACAGUUACACAUUAUAUCCUUGGGUCGGCCGGACCAUACUUUUGUUGGCGUUGGCAUUGAGGGAAAGAUGGAAAUGUUGGAGACGCAGUUUGGGAUUAGAUGCAGAAAUGGCGUGGAAUUAGGGCCAUGGGCUGCUGAUGUAUUGGACAUUCCUCAUUUGGGAACUUGUGGUGUUGGUAAACUCGCUCUUGAAGUUCUUGGGUUUGAUCGUGAUGGAAGUUGGAGACUCUUGAGUUGGUUGUAUGAGGAUUCUUAUGGUGAUUUACUUCUUCCAACUGUCAAUGUUUGCUGUUGCUACCAGAUUGGGAGGAAAUUGUUCGAGAAACCUGCUAUUUCUGCGAAGGUAGGAGGUGUGAUUCGUAGGAAUUGGCUUGUGUGGUUUGGAUUUCGUAAGUCAAGAUUUGCAGUGUUUGUAAUGAUUUUUCUAGUGUUCGUAGGAUGUAUUAUGAAAAAGUUUAUUAUGUAAGGAGGACGGUGGAAUAGAUUAA